UAAUUUGAAUCGACUGUAUAUGAUCCUAGUUUGCAAUUAUACACACCUUAAACUAGAUGAAAGAGGCUUUGUCAACACCGAUCAAAUAUUUUCAAAAACAUACUAACAAGAACCGAAACAACAUAUACAAACAAGAUUCUACAGAGACAAUGCUGGCCUUUGAAUUUUCAUCCAAAGCAGAAGAAACUCCAGAUCAAAGCCACCAUGACAUCGAACUCUUCACAGUUUCGUGAUAGCCGUUUCUUC
rnacentral:lncRNA from 1 species